UAAGGUUGACCCUCUGAAAUGCUGUGCAGU
rnacentral:piRNA from 1 species